rnacentral:rRNA from 1 species
UGGGGAAUAUUGCACAAUGGGCGAAAGCCUGAUGCAGCAACGCCGCGUGAGUGAUGAAGGCCUUCGGGUUGUAAAGCUCUGUCUUUUGGGACGAUAAUGACGGUACCAAAGGAGGAAGCCACGGCUAACUACGUGCCAGCAGCCGCGGUAAUACGUAGGUGGCAAGCGUUGUCCGGAUUUACUGGGCGUAAAGGAUGCGUAGGCGGAUUUUUAAGUGAGAUGUGAAAUACCCGGGCUUAACUUGGGUGCUGCAUUUCAAACUGGGAAUCUAGAGUGCGGGAGAGGAGAAUGGAAUUCCUAGUGUAGCGGUGAAAUGCGUAGAGAUUAGGAAGAACACCAGUGGCGAAGGCGAUUCUCUGGACCGUAACUGACGCUGAGGCAUGAAAGCGUGGGUAGCAAACAGGAUUAGAUACCCUGGUAGUCCACGCCGUAAACGAUGAGUACUAGGUGUAGGAGGUAUCGACCCCUUCUGUGCCGCAGUUAACACAAUCAAGUACUCCGCCUGGGAAGUACGAUCGCAAGAUUAAAAACUCAAAUGAAUUGAC